rnacentral:ribozyme from 1 species
UGUAUAUAAGUACCAAAACAAGGCACUAAAACGCUAAUUUUUAGGUGAUAAAAGAAUACAAGAAAUAUUAUUAUUUUCUUUUUAUGUUUCUGUAUUUUUUUCAAAUAAAAAUAAAAAUAAAGAAAAGAAA